rnacentral:rRNA from 1 species
GUCUACGGCCAUACCACCCUGAACGCGCCCGAUCUCGUCUGAUCUCGGAAGCUAAGCAGGGUCGGGCCUGGUUAGUACUUGGAUGGAAGAAUACUUCCUGUUCUGGGGAGUCUGGGUGGCUCAGUCG